UACAGAGGUCCCAAGCGUUGUUCGGAUUCAUUGGGCGUAAAGGGUGCGUAGGCGGCGCGGUAAGUCGGGUGUGAAAUCUCGGAGCUUAACUCCGAAACUGCAUUCGAUACUGCCGUGCUUGAGGACUGGAGAGGAGACUGGAAUUUACGGUGUAGCGGUGAAAUGCGUAGAUAUCUGGAGGAACACCGGUGGCGAAGGCGGCAUCCUGGACUGUAACUGACACUGAGGAACGAAAGCCAGGGGAGCAAACAGG
rnacentral:rRNA from 1 species